rnacentral:rRNA from 1 species
UACGAAGGGGGCUAGCGUUGCUCGGAAUCACUGGGCGUAAAGGGUGCGUAGGCGGGUCUUUAAGUCAGGGGUGAAAUCCUGGAGCUCAACUCCAGAACUGCCUUUGAUACUGAGGAUCUUGAGUACGGGAGAGGUGAGUGGAACUGCGAGUGUAGAGGUGAAAUUCGUAGAUAUUCGCAAGAACACCAGUGGCGAAGGCGGCUCACUGGACCGGUAUUGACGCUGAGGUGCGAAAGCGUGGGGAGCAAACAGG